ACCAAAUGCAAAUUUAAUCAGUUAUAUUGCAGGUUAUUUAAGGAUGAAUGAUAGCAAAAAUAUUUUUGCAUGUGAAAAAGAUUAUUCUGGGAUAGAUGACAAAUAUAUUUUUGAAAAAGAAAACAUGAGUUUACUGGAAAAUAUUUCAAGUUUAUCUUUGCAAGAGAUUGAAGCUAUACAUUCAAGAUUGCUAGAUUCUGCAAAUGAACUUGAUGAAGAAAGACACAAGAUUCCACUCUUAAAAAGCUUAUUUUCAAAUGUGGCACCUACUUUAUAUUUUAUGCUUGAUCAAGAAAAAGUAGGUUGUUUUCCUGCAGAGGUUUGUGACUUUUUGAAAUGGAAGUUUUGCAAAAUAACACCUAAAGUUGUUAGAGAUUGUGUUAAAAGAACUGGUUUUAAAAUGACAAAAAAAAACCCCAAUUGGCUGGGAUUGUGGGGCAAGCAUAUGAAGUCUAUUGAAUUUCGAACAAUUUGCAUAUUUCAAAAGGUUAAUCAUUUUCCUGGGACCUUUCAAAUUGGUAGAAAAGAUAAACUUUGGAAGAACUUUAGUAGGUUUCAGACUAUACAUGGAGAAAAGAACUUUAACUUUAUGCCGCAAACAUUUAUACUUCCUAAUGAUUUAUGUUUGUUAAGAAGACAAUGGAGGGAAAGAAAGCGUAAAUGGAUUGUAAAGCCACCUGCAUCAGCUCGGGGUAAAGGAAUAAAAAUAAUAAGCAGCUGGGAAGAGCUUCCCAAGAAACAGUUUUUGGUUGUUCAGAGAUAUAUUAUCAAUCCAUACCUUAUCAAUGGAUGCAAGUUUGAUUUAAGAGUGUAUGUUUAUGUGUCAUGUUUUGAUCCUUUAAGAGUAUACAUUUUUAAUGAUGGUUUAGUAAGAUUUGCGACAAGAAAAUACUCAGCUCGAACUGCAACUUUAUCUGACAAAUACAUUCAUUUAACUAACUACAGUGUCAACAAACAAAAUAAGAAAGUCUACAAGCAACCUGGAAUAGAAAACAAUAAUUUGUCUCAUAAAUGGUCAUUAAAAGAGUUGUGGGCCUAUUUACAUAGCAUUGGAUUAAAAACUGUGCAUAUUUGGGAAGAAAUAAAAGAUAUUGCUGUCAAAACAAUUAUAUGUGGUGAAUACUUAGUGAAUAGUCAAGCAAGAAGAAACACCAAAAGUCGAUACAAUUGUCAUGAGCUUUUUGGAUUUGACAUAAUUUUAGACAGCAAUUUGAAACCAUGGUUGUUAGAAGUCAAUAUAUCUCCAAGUUUACAAGCUAACUCAAGCACUGAUUUGAACAUUAAAAGUCAACUGGUUAAAGACCUUUUAAAUAUUGCUGGCUUUCGCUUGCCCAAAUUUCUGCUACCAUUUGAAAUUUCCUACUGUGAGGACCCGUAGGAUACAGCUCAGUUUCGGAGAUGAUUUCAACUGUUCUAAAUAUUUCAUACCAAACCAAAGUUUGAAGAAUGCAAAAAACUUGCUAUUAAAGUCUCUUUCCCCUGAUGACAUUAAAAUUCUCAUUGAGGCUGAAGAUGAG
rnacentral:misc_RNA from 1 species